AUUGAACGCUGGCGGCAGGCUUAACACAUGCCAGUCGAACGAGUGGCGGACGGGGGACUCAUGCUUGGGACUAUGGCUGAUGUAGGGGGAUCACUACGGGAACCUGUAGCUAAUACCGCCUACCAUAGGAUGAGCCCACGUGGGAGUAGGUAGUUGGUGAGGUCAAGGCUCACCAAGCCGACGAUCUCUAGCUGGUCUGCGAGGAUGACCAGCCACACUGGGACGGAGACACGGCUGAGACGCCUACGGGAGGCAGCAGGGGGGAAAAUUGCGCAAGGGGGGCAACCUGACGCAGCCAUGCCGCGGGAAUGAAGAAGGCCUUCGGGUUGUAAAGGUCGUUAGGUAGCGAGGCGUUAACUACAGAAGAAGCACCGGCUAACUCCGUGCCAGCAGCCGCGGUAAUAC
rnacentral:rRNA from 1 species